GACGAACGCUGGCGGCGUGCUUAACACAUGCAAGUCGAACGGUGAUGCUCCAGCUUGCUGGAGUGGAUCAGUGGCGAACGGGUGAGUAACACGUGAGCAACCUGCCCCAGACUCUGGAAUAAGCGCUGGAAACGGCGUCUAAUACUGGAUACGAAACUGGCCCGCAUGGGCAUGGUUUGGAAAGUUUUUCGGUUUGGGAUGGGCUCGCGGCCUAUCAGCUUGUUGGUGAGGUAAUGGCUCACCAAGGCUACGACGGGUAGCCGGCCUGAGAGGGCGACCGGCCACACUGGGACUGAGACACGGCCCAGACUGCUACGGGAGGCAGCAGUGGGGAAUAUUGCACAAUGGGCGAAAGCCUGAUGCAGCGACGCCGCGUGAGGGAUGACGGCCUUCGGGUUGUAAACCUCUUUCAGCAGGGAAGAAGCGAAAGUGACGGUACCUGCAGAAGAAGCACCGGCUAACUACGUG
rnacentral:rRNA from 1 species